GCACCGGCUAACUCCGUGCCAGCAGCCGCGGUAAUACGGAGGGUGCAAGCGUUAUCCGGAUUCACUGGGUUUAAAGGGUGCGUAGGUGGGCAGUUAAGUCAGUGGUGAAAUCUCCGGGCUCAACCCGGAAACUGCCAUUGAUACUAUCUGUCUUGAAUAUCGUUGAGGUAAGCGGAAUAUGUCAUGUAGCGGUGAAAUGCUUAGAUAUGACAUAGAACACCAAUUGCGAAGGCAGCUUGCUAACCGAAUAUUGACACUGAGGCACGAAAGCGUGGGGAUCAAACAGGAUUAGAUACCCUGGUAGUCCACGCCCUAAACGAUGGAUACUCGACAUACGCGAUAUACAGUGUGUGUCUGAGCGAAAGCAUUAAGUAUCCCACCUGGGAAGUACGACCGCA
rnacentral:rRNA from 1 species